rnacentral:rRNA from 1 species
UACGGAGGGUGCAAGCGUUAAUCGGAAUAACUGGGCGUAAAGCGCACGCAGGCGGUUGGACAAGUCAGAUGUGAAAUCCCCGGGCUCAACCUGGGAACUGCAUUUGAAACUGUCCGACUAGAGUCUUGUAGAGGGGGGUAGAAUUCCAGGUGUAGCGGUGAAAUGCGUAGAGAUCUGGAGGAAUACCGGUGGCGAAGGCGGCCCCCUGGACAAAGACUGACGCUCAGGUGCGAAAGCGUGGGGAGCAAACAGG